rnacentral:rRNA from 1 species
CGUAACGCGUAUGCAACCUGCCUGACACAGGGGGAUAAUCCGAAGAAAUUUGUCUAAUACCCAUAAUACCGAUAUAGGCAUCUAUGUUGGUUGAAAGCUUUGGUGGUGUCAGAUGGGCAUGCGUUGUAUUAGCUAGUUGGUGAGGUAACGGCUCACCAAGGCGACGAUACAUAGGGGGACUGAGAGGUUAACCCCCCACACUGGUACUGAGACACGGACCAGACUCCUACGGGAGGCAGCAUG